rnacentral:lncRNA from 1 species
AUGCAUCACUUGCUGAGGUGGCUGGGGCAUGGCGGUCGGUUCAAUUUUUUGCCGAGUUUCAGCAGCCGGUUGCUUCUGCUGCUGGGGACAUUGAGCUGGAGUCCACACUUCCUGGGCCAAGGCGGUCAGUUGCUUCUGCUGCUGAGGUUCAGCGGUUGGUUGCUUCUGGGGCAUUUGAGCUGGAUGCCACUCUUGCUGAGGCAUGGCGGUCAGUUCCUUCUGCCGCCGAGAGGCUUGUUGCUUCUGGACCAUUUUAGCUGGAUACCACACGUCAUGAGGCUGCUGGGGCAUGGGGGCCGCUUGCCACACUUGCUGAAGCGUGGUAGCCGGUUGCUUAUGCUGCUGGGGCAUUUGAGCAGAUUGCCACAGUUGUGGUGGAUUGGCGGUCAGUUCCUUCUGCGGUUGACGCAUAGGGACUGGUUGAUUCUGGGGCUUUUGAGCUGGAUACCACACUUGCUGGGGCAUGGCAGUCGGUUGCUUCAGCAGCAUUUGAGCUGGAUGCAACACUUGCUGAGUUAUGGCGGCCGGUUCCUUCUGCUGCUGAGGUUCAGUAGCUGGUUGCUUUUGCUGCUGGGGCAUUUGAGCUGUAUGCCACACUUGCUGGGGCAUGGUGGCCGGUUGCUUCUGCGGUGGAGGCAUUGGGGCUGGAUACCAUGCUUGCUGGGGCAUAGCUAUUGGUUGGUUCUGAGGUAUAGGCAUUGGAGCCAGUUGCUUCUGGGGCAUGGUGGUCAGUUCCUUCUGCUGCUGAGGACCAGUAGCUGGUUGCUUUUGCUGCUGGGGUAUUUGAACUGGAUACCACACUUGCUGAGGUAGCUGGGGUAUGGCGGCCUGUUCCUUCUGAUGCUGAAGUUCAGUAGCUGGUUGCUUCUGGGGCAUUUGAGCUGGAUACCACAUUUUCUGAGGUGCCUGGGGCAUGGGGGCCAGUUGUUUUUGCAGGAUGGCAGCCGGAUGCUUCUGUUGCUCUUCGGUCAGCUGCGCUUGCAUUUCAGCUGUUGGAGAGUUGUAAUUACCAUAUCCUUUAGACCCAAGUGAGCCUGCAUAGAGCCAUGCUGCAUCAGAACCUAGUGCAGGAUACCCAUCACCUAGGUUAGAAAAAGUAAAGUAUAAUGCCAGCCUUUGAAGUUACUGGAACCGCAACUGUUAUUUGAAAUUAAUGUGUAGAAACUCACUUGAUGUAGAACAGGUUAUCCCUCCAAUUAGCAGGCAACAAAGCCAAGAAACUCUUUAAAAAAAAGAAAGUCUGUUAUAAACAUAGCUACCUGUAACACCUGAAGGACAAGGGAAACAAACUAGAUCAAUACUUUUAAAAACCUACCUGAAAGCGAUUCCAAUCAUCAUGGCCGCUUUGCGCUUCAAAACCUCCCCAGUAAUCAGAACUAAUGGUCAGUAUAAGCCCUAGCAUAAUAUCCCUUUUGCUGUAUCUGGCAGGCUUUUGGUUGCUCCUUUUAAACAAAUCCCCAGACCCUUCUAA